UCCCGUGUAUGCGGGAUUGAUAUCAUCCUUACUGCUCCUAUGUGGACAGAGUUGCUGGGAUUUGACUUCGACGGUGAGACAGGGUCAGCACUAUAUGACGGAGACAACCAUCAUAUAUUUGGUAGUUAUGAUAGGGAGGCUGUUGUGGCUGAGACCAGGAGGGCAGAUGCAGAGGCCGGACAAUUUACUCAUUAUCCUGUCAGCAAUUUGUCCGUGUCUGCCCGCAUACUUCAUUAUGUGGUGACCCACAUUAUUUUCCAGCGCCCUCAUAAUCGUUCGAAGGUGCUGGAAGGUGACUUUGUGAUAUUGUGGGCCCUCCUUCACCAUAUUAAGGUGAACUGGAGGCACUACAUAUGCAUCUUGAUGUGGAAGGCGGCCAAGUCAAAAAAGGCUGAAUUGCCAUUUGCAUUCCUGGUCCAGAAGAUUUUGCAAAGAUUUGGUGUUCCUAUGGCAACUGAGACCAUGAAGACAGCCACAUGAUGGAAUGCCAUCUUUGGGGAGCGCCUUUUGAAGCAAUGCAGGAUUAUGCAGAGCCCAGCAGGUGUGUGGUACUGGAAGAAGGCAUCUGAACCACCAGAGGUCCCCCUUCAGCACGAUGCUCAGAUGGAGGAUGCAGGUGCAGGACUUGAUGAUGAUGACUCAGAUGAUGUUGUCCAUUCUGUUGAUCCCACUCCUGCACAUCGCAGCCGCACACGACGACCACCAGGUCCACCAUCACUUGAGGGGGGAUGGACAGCUCCUGAGGGAUGAUGGACAUUUGAUCAUGUGAUGGCCUCCAUGUAUCGCUUGACAUGUGGACAGGACGCCGUGAUGAGUGAGUUUAGGGGCUACAGACAGAGUACAAGCAAGUGGCGAACAACGAUGGAAAGCAGGAUGACACGCUUGGAGGGUGGAUCAGCAGGGGGUCAUGACAUAGGUGAUGAGGCUGCGUGAUCUUUGACCGCCCUUAUGAUGCUUCGAUGACGAUCAGAUAUUAGGCAAAUAUCGUGCCUAUGUGUGACAUGAAAACGUAAAAGGCUCAGAAACCAAGACCAAUCUUCCAACUUCUCACCUAGAGGAACAACAACGAAGGCAAUAGGGAGCAGAUGUCCAUCUCCAUCCUGUGAUGUUGCAAUCAAGAGUGUUCCUCUGUACUUCCCAUACAGAUGAGUGCCGUCAAUUUGAAUUAUAGGCUUGCAGUAUUUGAAUGCUUCAAUGCACUAGUGAAAUGUCCAAAAAACCCUAUGAAAUAUAGAUCUGUCUGUAUAAACCCGACGUUCGUCACAACAUGGAUUUAUAUCAAGCUUGAACACAGAACCCACAUUCACCUGCGUCAUAUACAUCAGCCAAUUGGGCAAGAAUCCAUAGGAUUUCUCCCAGUCACCAUACAACUUAACAAUGGCUUUCAUUUUUGCCUUCCAAGCCUUCCUGUACGUGAUGUUGUAUCCAUAUAUUCCUUGUAUCCUCUCUUGUAUCAGAACUGGUUUUGUAGCUGGAUCUUCCUUUAACAUGUCUGUAAAAAAAAACACAACUUUACCAUAUUCUCAAUUAGAAGAUUCGUUAAGUUCAUCGUAGAAUACAUACUUAUAAUAGCCGCACAUAUUACAUCUGAGUCCAACUGUCUAUGAUCCUGUGAAAGGCCUUGAUUCAGGCAUGUGUGAUCUUCACCCCAUUUACGGACCACCCAAUUAGCUCCCUUCUUGGGCUUGAUUGCCCUCAUAAACCAUGGACAUCCGUCAGUAUGAUUUCUACAUUUCAUAACAAAUCUGGACUCGUCACUUUUUUCGACUAUGGCUGUCCUGCGCCCCUUCAUACAAUGUAUCUUCACAGCAUGUUGCAUUUCUGGUUUGGAGCCAAAUUCUUGUUGCACAAAUAAUGGAUCUCCUAACUUCCAACCUCCGUGCAAGUCAUCAUCCCCAUACAGGAUCUCCAACUCGUCAUUAGGGUGCGCCCAAUUAAUGAAUGAAUAAUGUUGGCUUUCAUUUCAAAAUGGCUCUACCGCAGUCCCUGCAUCUAAAGCUUCAUUGAUUAUUGUCUGAAUCAAUAUCACCGAAUAUAUAUAAUUUAUUAAAGCAAAUGUGAAAAUUUAAUAACUUACCGCUACUAACAGGGUCAACAUGAAGUGGUGAACUGACAGGAUCAACAUGAAGUGGUGACAUGACUGGGGUACCCAGCCUUACAGCGCUCGUGUCAGCGUCAAAAUUUUCAUCCACGUCAGUGUCAGACGAAUCACCCUAUGGAAUAGCACUUUCAGAUUCUCCCUCAUCUUCGCUGUCCACAUACUCCUCAUCUUCAUCGUCUUCAUCCUUAUCCAUUGUUACCUGAGCAGGUGCAGAUGAUCGUACAAUUGUAUCUUCUUGACCAAUACAGUGCGCAGUGGUUGUAUGCACCGGUAACGAUGAAGACUGACCAGCAUCAAAUUCAACAUAUAUCUCAAUCAUUUUUAAUACUUUCCAUCCAACAUACGCAUCUGUGACGAACUCCACAUCUUCAUCAUCAUUGAUAUCGUUACCAAUGUAGUAUAUUGUAUCCAUAUCCACAAUAGUCUCUAACCUGGCUAUCAUGCGGUGGAUGGAAUGGAUGCCUUCUGACCCCAUUUUUUGGAGAAUUCUGUCCUUGAGUUCAUUGCAUGUAGUGCCCACUUUGAUUUUCAUCGUUUUUGUUUUUCCUUCAAAUCGGACACCAUUCGGACCUUCAAAAUGCCUCCCAUUGUAGUAAAUAACUAUAGGUACCAUGAUAGGACUUGAACUCAUCUUUCACACGAAAAUUUGGGUUUAGGUUUUGGGUUUGGAUCUUGGUUCGGAUUUUUUAACACAAAAAUGGAAAUGUGGAGGUGUAAUGCCAAUACCAAGAUUAAACUUUUUGAGAUGAUGAGAUGAAAUAUAUGUGUGAUGCUUCGGAAUAGAGACGUGAAGGGAAACUGAUUUGGGGAGAAAAAACUCUACCUCGCAACAAUGACCGAAACCCUUGGUAUUGGGUACCCUAUUCGCGAAAUCUACCAGGGUACCCCAUUACCUACCCGGGUAAAUAAUUCAAAAAAUUUCCAGAUCGAAGAAUAAUUCCCGGGUACCCCACUACAUACCCGGGUAUGGUUGAUUUUUUUAAAAUAUACCCGGGUAUGGAGUGGGGUACCCGGGUAUGCUUCGUGGUCAACGGUCAAACAGGGGCAGAUUGGUGUUAUGUUUGUUUGGAGGGUUAAUUUUUCGUAAUAGUUUCUAAUCGAGGGCAAUUUGGUAAAUAAUUAUUAAUAAAGGGCUACAGUGGUCAAAAAGCCUAAUAAAAUUACUAGCAAAUCAUAAAAACUAAAUAUACUAACCUAAUAUUUUUAGCAACAAAGAAAGAGACCUUUAAAGAACAUAAAAAUACAAUAAAAUUAUUAAUAUAGCAUAUAACAUAUUGAACAAAUUUUAUAAAAUUAUUAAUACAAUAAUCACAAAUUUUUGUUGCAAUUAAAUACAAAAUAUUAAUACUAUAAACAAUAGCAAUAAUCACAAUUAAAUUCACUAUUCUAACAUUUUAAGACAAAAAGAGAAACUUACAAAAAUCUAAUAUCUUAAUAAUAUGAUUUUAACACAUGUGGACCAGAUUAUAAUACUACUUACUUGAAAAUAUGACAAAUCUAAUAUGUUAAUCAUACAGCAAACCUAAUAUCUUAAUAAUACUGCAACCCAUUAAUUUUAAUAAUAUAGCAAACCAAGCAUAUAAUAAUACUACUUACUUGAAAAUGAUACAGACAAUGGCAAACUGAAAGAAACCCCACAACCACUACACGCGUUCUUUGUUGGAAGAGACUGGGAUCUUCUGACUGAGACGAGGGAGAAUAAGUAGUGGUCCGAGGAGGGCUGGAUGCGGCAUCUAGAAGAACGCCUCCUGGACGCGGCUUUGAGACGACCGCCUUCAGUGGAGGAGAUGGUGGACCACCAUUGGCUGGCGGUUCGCGGCUUGACAGGUACCGCGUCAGUGGUCUUCCGACACUGCAGAGACGCAGUCUUCACACGAUCACGUUCCAGUUACAUCACUUCAGCCCAGUUCCAUCACUUCCAGCACCGAUUGUCACGUGAUUUCUGUUGCAUGUAACGCGGUUUUGAACAAAACGCGACUGAAAACGGUACAUUGUCCACCGCGUCGUUAUGCACUAUUCCGACAAUACAUUUCACCUCGAAAUCAUUCUGGUGAUACAUUUUAAAACUCACAUCACCAUGGUCAAAAGGCUGUUACAUUCUUUUGUUUUUAAUCAUUAGAUCAGCCAUGAACUUCAGUACAGCAAGCCGAAAUAGAUUUUGUGAAUUUGGAAAAUAACCCUUUGUUAUGCUUUGGGGUUGUCCAGUUGAAUUAGUAUUUUAAUCCAGCUUUGCAUACUCUGAAUUUAUAUAGACAACAUGUAUAAUGUAUAAUUUAAUUAACAGUGAUUAAAUGACAAUUGUAGAGUUUUGUUAAGAUGAAUUUAUAGGCACCUAGUAAUCAUGAAAAUCGAACCUGUAUGCUUAAGGAAUUGUGUGUUCUAAAUUUUGUAUAAAUGAAAAAGCUAUGUGUACCUAGUUGUUAACUAAACCAAACCUGCAUGUGUAGGUCCUUGGAAUGAUUCUUUUUGUUACUUGCUAGAAAUUAAUACGACAAAAAUUAAAGACAGGAAGAUAAUUAACUUAUGGUAAGGCAGCUUUGAAUUAGAAUGAUAAUUUAAUUUAAGAACCUUGAGACCGAUUGGAAACCAAAGAUUUAGGAGAAUGGAAAGAUAUGUAACGUAAUUGAAUGAAUAUAAUAAAUUCUGAUUUGUCGUACGUGGUUGUUUAGGUGCGCAAGGUCCUGAAUAAUUGGACUGUUUGAUGAUAUUCGGAAUGCUUGAUGUAAAAGCUAAAGAGUUAAGGAGGGCUUAGAGGCAUUUGAAGAAGUGUUAGAUGACUUGAGUACAUGACUAUUAUGUUUAAGUUAUACUGUUGACAACCUUGUUGUUUGCGCUCGCUGUCUCUGUUGAGUGUAUUCUGAUUACUUGACCUUGAUGUAGUUUCUUAAAGUACGGCAUGCCAUGAUGUAUAUUUUGUCUUGAAAAGAAGUUUAGCAUGACUUUUAUGUUUCUGGUAUUUAGCUUGCGAAAAGAAUUGUUGUAGUAUUUAAAUUCGGAUUUUGAACUGUUUUUGCGAGCACUUUGCGAGUUGUUGUUCUGGGGCUACAGACCUCCGAUUGAGGUAUACUUUAUAUGGAUGUAAAGCCCCAGUUGUGUACUUUCAGAUUAUAUAAACCUUAUAAUGAAAUUCUGAAAUCCCGAUUUAUUAUGAUUUUUACAAGUCAGGAGGUUUCUGGAAAAAUACGCUGAGUUUUUGAGUAUUUUACGAGUUCUGUUUCGUGGGGCUAUUCUCCUCCAAUUCGCGUAUAAUUUAUAUGCACGCGAAGCCCCAGAUGGUCCAACAAGUUAUUGUUUCAAUUAAAGUUUCAAGUCAGCGCUGAUACUGCCUCCACUGAAAUUGAAGUGAGGCCGGCAUUGGUGAAGCCAUUUAGGGCCUUGACUUGGGUUAAAUUUGUAUUAGGUCUCAUUGUUGGCCUUAGUUUAACGAAUGGGCCGGCUCUGCUAUUGGCUGGAGCUUAGAAAAAUUGAGACACGCCUUCCGGUUACAAUGGCAAUAAGACUGAAGUCUGGUACAAUAAAGUAGGAGUUUAAUGUCAUAUUGUUUUGAAUACGAGAAAAAUUACUCUUUAUAAAUCAUAUGACUGCGCGAAAAAUUUGUGAGGCUUGCCUAUUCACAACCUCUUCUUAUGGGUUAGUGAAUUGGAUUGUUGCAAUCCAACCGGUCAUCGGUUUUUGGAUAAAACUGCCGAGUCAAAACAUGAUAGGAAGUGUUGUUGUUUUUAAGUCUAAACCUUUUGGUAUUCUAAUUUCUUAUAAUCUUAUUUUGUGCACCCAUUGGCGAGGUACACAGCGAAUGAUCAGGUCAUUAUUCCAAAAGAGUUUUGUGUGAUUAUCUCUUGCAGCUCUUGCUGAAAAAUAUUAGCUUCCGAAUAGCCGUAUCGAAGUUGAAAUGUUCGAGUCAUGGUUCUUACUGUUGUUGUCCGUGUAGAAAAACUCACAGAAGUAGCUAGAAUCAUGUUACAAAUGAUGAGCCAAGGAAGGAGAAAAAAGAUCAACCGGUCACAUGGAAGGUCUACACAUGCAAAAAUGUGCCAAAUGAAAUUAGGCUAAGUGCUUUAUUUUUGCUAGUGUAUUAUAUUUGGCAGGAAGGAGGGAAUCAUGGGAAUUUAUUGGGUCUAUAUUUUGCAGGAAUGUGGGAAUCAUGGGAAUAUAUGGGUAUAUAUUGGUUCUGUAUCCAUUUUGGAGG